rnacentral:rRNA from 1 species
GACGUAGGGCGCGAGCGUUUGUCCGGAUUUAUUGGGCGUAAAGAGCUCGUAGGCGGCUUGUCGCGUCGUCCGUGAAAACCUGGGGCUCAACCCCAGGCUUGCGGUCGAUACGGGCAGGCUCGAGUUCGGUAGGGGAGACUGGAAUUCCUGGUGUAGCGGUGAAAUGCGCAGAUAUCAGGAGGAACACCGUGGCGAAGGCGGGUCUCUGGGCCGAUACUGACGCUGAGGAGCGAAAGCGUGGGGAGCGAACAGG